GGAGCCGAAGGGAAACCGAGUCUGAAUAGGGCGUGAAGUUGCAUGCAUAGGGCCCGAAACCGGGUGACCUAUCCAUGUCCAGGUUGAAGUGGGAGUAAAAUCCCAUGGAGGACCGAACCGACCUCCGUUGAAAAGGCGGCGGAUGAGGUGUGGAUAGCGGAGAAAUUCCAAUCGAACCCGGAGAUAGCUGGUUCUCCCCGAAAUAGCUUUAGGGCUAGCGUUGUAUUAGAUUACCGGAGGUAAAGCACUGAAUGGGCUAGGGGCCGAGAGGUUACUGAACCCUAUCAAACUCUGAAUGCCGGAUAAUUGAUGUACAGCAGUCAGACUACGUGAGAUAAGUCUCGUGGUCGAGAGGGAAAAAGCCCAGACCCACAGCUAAGGUCCCAAAUACACGUUAAGUGGAAAAGGAUGUGGAGUUGCACAGACAACCAGGAUGUUGGCUUAGAAGCAGCCACUCAUUAAAAGAGUGCGUAAUAGCUCACUGGUCGAGUGACUCUGCGCCGAAAAUUCAACGGGGCUAAACGUGUAACCGAAGCUUGGGAUUCCGCAAGGGAUGGUAGGGGAGCGUCGUAUACGGGGUGAAGUAUGAGCGAAAGCGCAUGUGGACUGUAUACGAGUGAGAAUGCCGGAAUGAGUAGCGAGAAAUAUGUGAGAAUCAUAUUGGCCGAAAGUCUAAGGUUUCCGGAGGAAGGUUCGUCCGCUCCGGGUAAGCCGGGAGCUAAGGUGAGGCCG
rnacentral:rRNA from 1 species